GGGCUGGAGAGAUGGCUCAGACGUUA
rnacentral:piRNA from 2 species